GAAGAACCAUCAAAUCCGAUACACGACAACUUCAUUAAUGGCGGAUUAACAGAUCCGACACUGAGCUAAGGAAAAACGAUGUACUCUCCUCGGAUCAUAAACACAGGUGCGAAUACCUCGCCGUGCGUCUGGACUACAAAUUGAAAGGGUUAAUAGCGAAGCAAACGGGCGUUGCAGUAUUUCCUGGACGCUGUUUAUCAGCGUGGCGAUUACAAAGGAUCAUCGACGGAACUCCCAGCGGCAAUUGUCCGACGCAGAAGCGGCGCGGCUGGUUUGCGACGCGGGAUGGAAAAUAUAGGAAAUUGCACUUGCACUGGAACGAGGAGUGUAAUUUACAACGGGUGCCGGGGGUAGCCGAGGCCACUGUAGGCUAGACGAUCCCUAUGAGCGCGGGCCCCGGAUGGCCUUGGAUUUUCAACUUGAGAAUCUCUACGCCUACAGCGACACAAGUAGCGCUCGGAGAAGAGGCGGCAGGGUGAAAAAAAAAGAGGAGGAAGCGAAUGUGUUUUCAAAGCCCUCUGGCACGUCCAGGAAACAAAGGAAGUUUUUUCGGGAGGUCGAAGAGCGAAUAAGGUAAAAGAUGUGUUUCACUCUGUCGCCAUUAUGAGCGGCUAAUUGCCUCCGAAGUAAUUAAUCCUAUCCUGGAACUCGGCGCGAAAAUAUCGGACCUCGGGUGAAACGCUAAAGCGAGGGAAACGUUGGAUUCGGAAUCCGAACGCGCUGAAACUUAUCGAAUCUGAUCUUAACCGAUCGAAACGUGUUACUUUUUAAUAGCGGGUCAAACUCUUCUUCAGAUUUUCUGAAUUUAUAACAAUAAUUAAUAGAUUCUAUUUCGAGCAGUAGACAAAUUCAUGUAAUUGAAAAGUAUCAACAUACAGUUUGCAACUUAUUAAAAUUUUAAGUAAGAAUUGAAUGUGUAUCUGGGGCAAAUAUCGCUUGCAUAAAAAUGAUUAUUCUAAUUAUGAUCUCAAAAUUAAAGACAGUUUAGAGUGAUCGAAAUUAUAUGCAGGUAGAAAUGUUCGACGAUCAAUCUAAAUAAAUAGAAUUGUAAACGAUUUUUGUUUGUAAUAAAUAGACUGAGUAAAUAGAUUUGUCUUAAAUAA